rnacentral:rRNA from 1 species
AGUUCGGAUUGUAGGCUGCAACUCGCCUACAUGAAGUCGGAAUUGCUAGUAAUCGCGGAUCAGCAUGCCGCGGUGAAUACGUUCCCGGGCCUUGUACACACCGCCCGUCACACCAUGGGAGUCGGAAAUGCCCGAAGUCUGUGACCCAACCUUAGGGAGGGAGCAGCCGAAGGCAGGUCGGAUGACUGGGGUGAAGUCGUAACAAGGUACC